GAUGAACGCUAGCUACAGGCUUAAACACAUGCAAGUCGAGGGGAAACGGCAUUUAGUGCUUGCACUGAAUGGACGUCGACCGGCGCACGGGUGAGUAACGCGUAUCCAACCUUCCCAUUACUGUGGGAUAACCUGCCGAAAGGCAGACUAAUACCGCAUAGUCUUCGAUGACGGCAUCAGAUUUGAAGUAAAGAUUUAUCGGUAAUGGAUGGGGAUGCGUCUGAUUAGCUUGUUGGCGGGGUAACGGCCCACCAAGGCAACGAUCAGUAGGGGUUCUGAGAGGAAGGUCCCCCACAUUGGAACUGAGACACGGUCCAAACUCCUACGGGAGGCAGCAGUGAGGAAUAUUGGUCAAUGGACGAGAGUCUGAACCAGCCAAGUAGCGUGCAGGAUGACGGCCCUAUGGGUUGUAAACUGCUUUUGUAUGGGGAUAAAGUCAAUCACGUGUGAUUGUUUGCAGGUACCAUACGAAUAAGGACCGGCUAAUUCCGUGCCAGCAGCCGCGGUAAUACGGAAGGUCCGGGCGUUAUCCGGAUUUAUUGGGUUUAAAGGGAGCGUAGGCCGGAGAUUAAGUGUGUUGUGAAAUGUAGACGCUCAACGUCUGACUUGCAGCGCAUACUGGUUUCCUUGAGUACGCACAACGUUGGCGGAAUUCGUCGUGUAGCGGUGAAAUGCUUAGAUAUGACGAAGAACUCCGAUUGCGAAGGCAGCUGACGGGAGCGCAACUGACGCUUAAGCUCGAAGGUGCGGGUAUCGAACAGG
rnacentral:rRNA from 1 species